GUGCUCGCUUUGGCAGCACAUAUACUAAAAUAGGAACAAUACAGAAAUUAGCAUGGCCCCUGCACAAGGAUGAUACGCACAUUUGUGAAGCAUUCCAUAAUUUU
rnacentral:snRNA from 1 species